rnacentral:rRNA from 1 species
GAUGAACGCUGGCGGCGUGCCUAACACAUGCAAGUCGAACGAACCUGAUCUUCGGAAAAGGUUAGUGGCGCACGGGUGAGUAACACGUAGGUGACCUGCCCUGGAGUGGGGAAUAACGUCCGGAAACGGACGCUAAUACCGCAUAAUGCAGCGGCACCUAAUGGUGACAGUUGUUAAAGGAGCAAUUCGCUUGAAGAGGAGCUUGCGGCAGAUUAGCUAGUUGGUAAGGUAACGGCUUACCAAGGCGACGAUCUGUAACCGGUCUAAGAGGACGGUCGGUCACACUGACACUGAAUAACGGGUCAGACUCCUACGGGAGGCAGCCGUCGAGAAUUUUGGGCAAUGGGCGAAAGCCUGACCCAGCAACGCCGCGUGAAGGAUGAAGUAUUUCGGAAUGUAAACUUCGAAAGAAUGGGAAGAAUCAAUGACGGUACCAUCUAUAAGGUCCGGCUAACUACGUGCCAGCCGCCGCCGUAAAAC